rnacentral:rRNA from 1 species
UACGAAGGGGGCUAGCGUUGCUCGGAAUCACUGGGCGUAAAGGGUGCGUAGGCGGGUCUUUAAGUCAGGGGUGAAAUCCUGGAGCUCAACUCCAGAACUGCCUUUGAUACUGCCUUGCUCGAGUACUGGAGAGGAGACUGGAAUUUACGGUGUAGCGGUGAAAUGCGUAGAUAUCGUAAGGAAGACCAGUGGCGAAGGCGGGUCUCUGGACAGUUCCUGACGCUGAGGCACGAAGGCCAGGGGAGCAAACGGG